AGGACACUUGAACCUUGGGAGGGGCUCUUUCCUUGCAAGUCAGAUUUCAUUUUACAGAUUUCUCUCUCUCUAGAACAGAAACCUUGCCCUAACUCAAGUGCUCUGACUUCUCUCUAGGUUUCCAGCCAUUUCCACCGAUUGAAUCCUAAUUUGGUGGUGUUUUCUUGUUCAUGGAGUCAAGAGCUACGAAACCAUCCGAUUGGUUUUGCGUUCCAGCGGGUUCUGUACAGUUUCGCACGGUGUAGGGGUAGUGUUAGAGCAUCUGUGAACUGUGUUGAGCAACCCACCAGGUGAGGGUUAUAACUGUGUUAUAACUGGUGUACUCUUGUGAAACUGUGUUAUAACUUUUAUUGUAUUGAGUGUUAUAAUUGAAACUGUGGAAUUGUGCAUGUUGUGAUAUGGUUAUUUUAAUCUGUUUCAAAUGAGUUGGUUGGCUGAGAUUGUUCUGGUUUGAGAGUUUGGAGUAAGAUUCUGUAAUGGCAUUGAUAUGGGUAGUAAGUAGGUAUACAUACAUUGUUUUAGAUUACCGUGAGAGGAAAUAAUAUAUAUAAAAAAAAAUGGCAAUUGAGAUUUAGAGCACAACAAAUUAGUUUAGGUAACUUAAAUAAAUUAAUUAAAAUUGGUUGAGAGCCUUUCUUUGUUGGUAGGAUAGAGGGGACUUAAAAACCUGAGUUGGCACAUCCCUGAUCAUAGAGCAGCCUUAACCUGGUCCAGUCAGUUGUAACUAGUCAUAUGUGCUAGCGUCGAAGGUGAGUCUGAUGCGUUCAGACAUCUGAAUCCUCUCCGGUGACCAAUUGGGUAGCAAUGUGAAGUGGAGAACAAGUAUUUUGUGGUAAUGAAAAAUUUAGCAAGCAGUUUCAUAAUUAAGGGAACAUUGUAAGUUAUUUAGAGAUAAU
rnacentral:sRNA from 1 species